UUGGAGGGCAGUCUGGUGCCAGCAGCCGCGGUAAUUCCAGCUCCAAUAGCGUAUAUUAAAGUUGUUGCAGUUAAAAAGCUCGUAGUUGAAUUUCGGGAUCAAUAUAUUGGUCGUGCCUCUGGUAUGAACUGGUAUUAUUGAUUUCUACCUUCUGACGAACUGUGAUGUCAUUAAUUUGGUGUCAUGGGGAAUCAGGACUGUUACUUUGAAAAAAUUAGAGUGUUUAAAGCAGGCACACGCUUGAAUACAUUAGCAUGGAAUAAUGAAAUAGGACGUUUGACCCUAUUUUGUUGGUUUCUAGGAUCGACGUAAUGAUUAAUAGGGAUAGUUGGGGGCAUUAGUAUUCAAUUGUCAGAGGUGAAAUUCUUGGAUUUAUUGAAGACUAACUACUGCGAAAGCAUUUGCCAAGGAUGUUUUCAUUAAUCAAGAACGAAAGUUAGGGGAUCGAAGACGAUCAGAUACCGUCGUAGUCUUAACCAUAAACUAUGCCGACUAGGGAUCGGAUGAUGUUAAUUUUUUAAUGACUCAUUCGGCGCCUUACGGGAAAC
rnacentral:rRNA from 1 species